GACGAACCGUGCGAACGUUGUUCGGGAUCACUGGGCAUAAAGGGCGCGUAGGCGGCCUGCUAAGUCGAACGUGAAAUCCCUGGGCUCAACCCAGGAACUGCGUCCGAUACUGGUUGGCUUGAAUCCGGGAGAGGGAUGUGGAAUUCCAGGUGUAGCGGUGAAAUGCGUAGAUAUCUGGAGGAACACCGGUGGCGAAGGCGGCAUCCUGGACCGGCAUUGACGCUGAGGAGCGAAAGCUAGGGGAGCAAACGGG
rnacentral:rRNA from 1 species